rnacentral:misc_RNA from 1 species
GAUGAAGAACGUAGCGAAAUGCGAUAAGUAAUGUGAAUUGCAGAACUCAGUGAAUCAUCGAAUCUUUGAACGCACAUUGCGCCCGCCAGUAUUCUGGCGGGCAUGCCUGUCUGAGCGUCAUUUCAACCCUCAUGCCCCUAGGGCGUGGUGUUGGGGAUCGGCCAAAGCCCGCGAGGGACGGCCGGCCCCUAAAUCUAGUGGCGGACCCGUCGUGGCCUCCUCUGCGAAGUAGUGAUAUUCCGCAUCGGAGAGCGACGAGCCCCUGCCGUUAAACCCCCAACUUUCCAAGGUUGACCUCAGAUCAGGUAGGAAUACCCGCUGAACUUAAGCAUAUCAAUAAGCGGAGGA